ACCUAAUGUGGGACUUAUUGUUGGAGCAACUAUUGGUGCAAUUGCAGCAGCAGUACUCAUAGGGGUGACAAUAUAUUUCAUUGUGAAAUAUGCAAACAAAAAGAAAGGGAGCCAGACUGGAUCAAGUGUGAACAAUGCUCACAUGUCCUCUACAGAGCCUGCAGUAUACGUUAAUGUUCAUGCAAACACUCAACAGCAGGAAACACGAGUGAAGAGUCCUCGGGAAGUGCAACCUGAACAUAUCUACAUGUCUCUAGAUCAAAGAAAAGACAGCGAGUACAUUACGUUAGAAGAUACCGGAAAAUUUCAGAAUUGGAAAUGAAAUCAACAUGGGCCUUCCUGUGAUCCUGGCAUUCUUAAUACCUCACUGAAAUGAUACAGUGUUUCAUGUCAGCAGUCUACACUUUUUUAACUACUGCACUAUGAAAUAUUGGUUACUUUUAAACUGUCUUAUGAAAGGUGCACAGUUAAAUAUAUAUGGUCUUAUGUAGUAUCUCUUAAGGGUAUUAGCAAAAGAAAGCUCCAUUUUAACAUCAAGCAACACUCCCUUUAGCAUAUCAUACCUAAAUCUUAAAUGUUUGAGAAUAAGAAGUAUUUAAGUAAAAAGUUGCUGUAUGAUGUUACAUUGAUUAACUACAUUACUUUUAUCUUUCCAUGUAGCAUGUACAUCUGAGUAAAACAGAAAAUAAUAACAAGUUACUAAACUGACAUGCUACAGAAUGAGCAUGUUAUCUGUUGAAUAUGUAAUUUCUGCAUUUUGACCAAUUAUUAUGAAAAACAUUAAUUUGUGCACUUAUAGAAAAGAUCAUGAAUGGAUCUGUCAUAACUUGCUUAAAAUAAUUUGGAAUAUUACAUAGAAAAUUGCAAUGCAGUAUCUUUAGCUGAUUUGAUUUAGUUUGCAAAAUGUGAAGUCUCUCAUUUAAUUUCUGGAUAAAUCAUCAAAUUAAUUUAGGCACAAAAUAGCUUGUAUUUAAUGUCAAAACUCCUUCCAGAUUAUUGUCAAGAUGAGCAUGUUGCAAUUUACACUGAAAGUGAUAUGAAGAGAAGAACCGGUAUAACUUCCAUGCCUCACCAAUCUCCAACAAUGCUUGUGCUUAACUUGCACUUACCCCAUGCCCAUGCAACAGCCUAUUAAAGAACAGCUUCAUCAGGUGGUAUGAAGGUAUUAUGCCUUCUACGGAUCCCGAAAUAGGUUGUCCUAGCGUAACCAGUACAUUUGAAAUUAAAAUUCUUAUGAGUAUGUGAUAUUUGACACUUGUAUCUUCCAUCAACAUUGAACAAGGGGUUAUAUGUAUCACAUCAUUGAAUAUGUUAGGUUUAUUACAGUCAUCAAUUUAUAAGUCAUUUGUAAAGAAGAUCUAAUUAUGUGCAUUUGUCUACAUUGCUAACACAGUCUACGCCAUUCUUGCAGAACAGUUUAAUACUGUUCUUCUGUUUAAAGUACAACAUAACUUGUAAAUUAACUGCGUAGACUAAAAGAUAAGAUAGAGUCAUUAUGCUUUUCAUGUACCAAAGCAGAGAUAAAUACUGACUACUUGUUUGCCCAUGCCCAGUCAGCCAGGUCCAGUGGUGGCUUUAAGCUAGUACUUACCUGUGAGUACCAUGUUGUCAUGUCUGACUGAAUGCAGACCUUCAUUGCUUAGUUUAAUUUAUCAGUUUUGUAUUAUUCCUUGUCACAAGUUCAUUGUUGUCAGAUGAUGAGCAUGCCAGCCUGAUCUGUACUUCUUUAUAGGCACCCGGGUUAGCUUUUUUCAGGAGAAAAUGGUGAGAUAUGAUUAGCUUUUGUCCGGAGAAAAUAGUGAGACGUGUAUGAGGGGACAGCUCUAAAGCAUAUGACUGAACACAGCAUGCCUGAUUUAUUGAUGAACAUAUAUCUUCACUAUUUCCAGAUUCACAGUCCCCACUGUUCAACUCACACUUAGCCAAAAAGUAUAUAUCUGUUACAUAUCACAUGGAAUCAGUUUACAAUUGUGUAUUUUAAAUUUCUGUUGUUGGUAACAUCAGAAAUUUCAGUUCAGUCUUCUACCUUGAAAUUGUCUUUGUUUUUAAUGUUUUAGUUAACUCUCCUACAUUUGUUAUCCAUUCUCUUUAACUUUAUACACAAAUAACAGCUGUCUUGCUGAUAUGUUUUACUUCAGCAGUUUAUGCGGUCUGUGCCACGUAAUGGCAUUGUACCAAUAGUAACACCACUCACCUUCUUUUAUGUGCUCCCUAAAGUGUAUCAAGAUAGGGCCUGCCUAAAGUACCACCUGAGCUUUAAAUGAAGUGGAGAUAAAUAAUGUUUUUACAGAUUUUUGAAAGGUCCUCCUCUGAUUUGUAACUUUCAUCCUUUUUAAUAUGUCUGUAAUUCUUGGUAUGCUUGUUUUACAUUUCUGAGUAGAAGUGCUGUGCUGAAUGUAAUUCCAGUUUCGCUAUACAGUAGCUUUGUAAAUCUACAGGCACAUUAAAUUGUACAUUUGUAAACUAACUACAGUAUGUUAGACAGCCUGCUACUGUAUACAUGCAUGCACAUAUAUAACCUGUAAAUAAAGAAUGUGCAUAUAAAUAUCUGUCAACUAAAGUAAAUGUUCUUGAAGAAAAAUCACAUUUGAUUAUACUCCAGAUAUUGGCAUCAGUGAUGCCAUAUGGAUUUGGUGAUGUCUGUACAAUGUCACUUUGCUUCUGUACACCAGAACAACAGACACUAGCAAUCUUGAAAACAGUAAAUUUUAUUCCAAUAUCUUGAAUCUAAUCUAUUGUAGGUCUGCAGGUUCACAAUAGCUAGGAAUUACUUAAAGGCUUCACUAUUGUCUGUGUCACUGUUGUGGUAUAGAUAUGUGUUAUUGCAAUCGAUGUUACUGUUUUCAUGAAUAGCUCAAUUUAUUUGUUCUUCUGAUAUUAUUCGUGGCCCAUUAACCAUAUUUGUAUGUGUCUUUCAGACUUGCAUUUCCCUCUGAUAAGCACAUCUUUUUUUGCAGUAAUGUGUAAGUAUUACAGUUUCCUGAGAACUUCAGCCUACUUUUUUUUUCUAUUUUACUGGAUCAUCUCAGUGUGGCAGAGGGUUGCCAGAUGUCCCUGUGAGAAUAGCAGUGUCUCAGGUGUAGGCAUUUUAAUUGUGAAACAGCAUAUUUGCAGCCUGAGGGGACAGUGUUCUACUUAUUGCUGUCACUGCUCAACUUAUAUCAUUACAGGAGCCCUGACCUGAUAGUAGUUUAGGGAUACACAGCUAAAGGACUACAUGCUAUGUACAGACAUACCAGCAGAAAGAUAUCAACAGAGCAUGUUCAUGUUACAUAUUGGUGGAAAGGUACCCUAUUAUCUUCUUGGGACAAUUUACAUUCCAUGCAUGUAUUUUCAGGUUUGCUUUAUCAAUUUUUACUUCCUCCAAGGACUGAAUAACAUCCAGAUUCCAUGCCUUGUAACUGGCUAUAGUAAGCAGGGCAGAACACAAAGUCUUGUAAUUCAUCAUUUGCUUAUACUGCAAAGAAGUCUCUUUUUGGACUUAUAAUCUAAGUCAGUGCUUUGAGUCAACUGUCCUUGCCAUGUACAUAAACAGUCACACUGAAUGAGUGUUGUUACAUACAAUGUAUAUGAAUACUUAAGCCAAUUUUGUGAUACUGUUGAGAUAUAACAAAACUGAUUACAUACCUUCUUUUUAUUUGCAUGUUUCACAGUGAAAUACACCAACAUCCCAAUAAGCACUGCUCCUGCAUUAACACUGAUGGUUAUUCCAGUUAUAAGUCCCAGAUCAGUUUUAUCUAAAGAAAAAAAGAUGAGUGUAAUGCAUAAAUUGCUGCAAAAUUUAAAAGAUGUGCUAAUACCACACUUGAACAUUUAUUAGUACAGUUAUUUAUUCAUAGUUAGCUGCUGCAAUAAUCUUUU